ACAGCUUCAAACUGUGUCUUCGAACCUGUGUCACAGAAAGGGUGGAAGAUUUUGGGGUGAGAACAAACCACACGUUCUCAGUAGGGAAUGGGAAUGCUGUAAAAGUAAUGAUUAACAUGCAAAUAAUUAACUUUGCUUAAUAAACCAUCUUUGUCAAACCCUUUGAAAUACUUUUUAAUAUUACUUUAGAUAAAUAAUUACUUUCUUUAAAUUUCUAAACCCAAAACAGAUCUCAAUCACAAAAUUUGUCAUAUUAAAUAUCUUUCAGCCACAUAAUUGAUUCUCAGUCACAACAAACAGUUAUUAAUCAUCUCUAUACAUUCACAGACUACUAGCACAAGUAAGAAACUCAAUUCAACACACAAACAAAUCAGAAUAGAACAAACAACACAAUCACAGAGAAGUAAUACAAGCAAACACAACCAAAUGCAAAUGCACAACCACUAUGAUGCAUGUCUGUCCUAAGCAAGCCAUGAGCUCACGUAUCGGUUUAUACCCUGCAGCCCGACAUUACCUAGGAAUAAGUCCCAGAUAUGGCUUCCCUUUGUGUCCUUAGUGCAUAUGUGUCGGUGGUAAGAAUACCAUUCCUUCGUGACUACCGGCAGUCGGCGCAAAGGCCGACCCCAUAAUAUACGCACAAGGGGAAUCAGUGAUCCUCAGUUCGUGGGCAUCCCCGAGAUCAACAUACAACAACAAACACGAUCCUCAGUUCGUGGGUUAUACCCGAGAUCAAUACACAACCAUACAAUGAUCCUCAGUUCGUGGGUCAUACCCGAGAUCAACAUAUAACAGUUAGUGGGUUAUUCUCGUAAUCAGUGAUUAUCAAUUCGUAGGUUUUUCCACAUUUAAAACAAAUAACAAUUUAUAGGUUUCCCCGAGAUCAAUGAUCAUUCAGUUCGUGGGUACUUCUCGAAUUUAACUAAUUAUCAAUUCAUGGGUUUUCCCAUCUGUUACCCUGUUUCUCAUUAUCCUUCCUAAAUCUUAAUAAUUCGUAUAUCAGUUCUCCAUUCUCUAUUUCCCUUUGAAACCUUAACAUAUUUUCAAAAGACCUUUCUUAACUUCCUCAGGAAUUCGUUCCCAAAAAUCUCAACUACCAAAUCACUUCAUAAUCUAUACCUUUGAAAUCUUGGAUCAAAUCAUUUUCAAGCAUAUAGGUCUACCCUUAAUACUCUUAGAACAAUAUUCACUUUUCAAUUUUAUAAACAAUCGUUAACCAUUAUCAAAACAAGAUCUAAAAGAUAAGUCUUUUCAUAUUCAAAUCAAAUUUAUAACCAAAUCCUUUUUCUUGAAUAAAUCAAGUUCGAAAUAUAAUUUAUUCUGUUCUUAAUAAGUCAAGUAAUACACUUUCCCAAAUCCAAAACAUUUCAAACAAAACCUCAAUUUUAUAGAAAUUUUGACAGCACCUCCCCUAAAACUUGGACUUAACCACCCUUACGGGUUCCCUCUUUCUCAACAUUUCACCCGCCAUUUACCAGCAAUUAUCACAUCAACAGAUUCUCAAUGGUCAUCUCAUCAUAAAUUAGUUUAAGGACUAACAUCCUUUCAUCAAAUACAAUCAGAAUUUUCCAUCAAGCAUUCUUGAAAAUUAGCCUAGUCCAACGUCAAAAAAAUUAUGAAUAAUUUCCCAAAAAUCAGUCUUUAACCUCAUGCAAUAUCGUUCACUAUCAAAUUACUAGUUCGUUUUCAAAACUACUAUUUUACCUUAAAAUUCAAGUUUCAAGAAAAUUGAUUUAGUAAUCAAAUGAACCAUUCCAAAGCUACCAACUUGACAUAAUCAACUAAAAUCGGAAUUUCCAACAAUUCUAAAAUAAUCAGAAAACCAAUAAUAAUCACAGCCUCAAACCAAAGUAAAUCUCAUCAGUUAAUUACUCACGACAACGAAGCCAAUCAAUAUCACAGCCAUAACCCAAACGCAAUUCACAUCCGCAUCCAAUUUCAAUCAUAACUCAGAGCAAUCACCACAACUAACUUUUCUCAAAUACAUUUCAUUCAAUAAUUAACUCAUCAUAAUUCAAUUUAAUAAGUAACAUUACCAUUCAAAGCCACAUUUCAACCAAUUUCAACUCGUCACAAGUCUAUUUCACAGCCAUUCCAUUAUAUUAAAAUUCCAAUUCAAUAUCAAACAAUUCAAAAUAGUUCAUCCAAGAUCAGAAUCUCAGCCAAUUCAUCACAAAAAUCAAUAAUUCAAAGUACAAUUCACAAUCGCAUUUAAUUUUCACUUAUAAUUUAGAGUCAUCACAAUCGCAUCCAAUUCAAAUUCAUAAUUCAGAAUAAUCACAACAGUAUCCAAUUCUAGUCAUAAUUCACAAUAAUCACAACAGCUAACUGUUCUCAAACACCUUUCAAGAAAUUCACAUCAAUUAAUCAAUUCUUAACCAUUGUUAACUAUUUGUAAUUAUCCAAAUAACUUUGUAGGCAUUCUAAAUUAAAAACAUUUAACUUUAAAAAUAAAUCCCCUAACUCAAUGUCAAAACUCACGAAAAUCGCCAAACACAGCAGCUUCGUUAGCAAUUCCAACACUCGUUUUGUUUCUUGGGCAGCAACUAAAGUGGUUCUGGGCAGCUCCAACAUUGGUUCCCAGUGGCAGAGGGCUCCGGUAACUACGAAACCUGAAGCAGAGGCUGAACAGAGCAGCACAGAGUAGUAUAGAGUAAGAGCAGCAGCAGUUUCUUCUGUCAAUGGCUCCUUCCCUAGUAGGCUUCAAUGGUGACAGUGGCAGCGUCCUCCUCCAAACUUGAUGGUGGCAGAACAACGACUCUGAUGGCGGUUCAUGACUCACCAACGAACCUGACAGCGACGGAGAUCCUUUAUCCCUCUCCUCUGCGUGUGUUCUGCAAUGGUGACAGCUUAGACAGUAGCGGCGGCAUCAACCCAGCAGCAGUGACGGCCUAGCAGUUCAGCGUUGAUGGAAGCACGAAGGUGAUGCAGCAGAGGCUCCCUCCUCCACUGGCUCUCACGCAAUCCUUCCUUCUUCCCUGAACAGCGUCGAUGGCAUCAAUGGCGACGACGGUGGUAGGACGCGGUGGUGGCAAGCUUCUCCCUCCUUCUCUGGUGUGCGACAGCCCAGCAGCACGGUGACAGAACGACAACGCGACAUGGAGGAUUGUGUUCCUCUCUCGGGCUCCUUCUCUCUCUUCGGGUUCUUCUCAAGCAGCGGCGGUGGCUUCCAUCGACGGCACCUGGGUACGACGGUGACGGCGAUGGCUACGCUUCUUGCGAUGAGCAAGCUCUCUCUUCUCUACCCUUCAUGCUUGACGGCAAUGACUAAGACUCCCUUCGAAGCAGCGAUGACAGCGGCCUCGUGGUAGCAGAGUGCGACGAUAGUGAAGCUUCAUCUCCCUCCUCCGCGUCACUCUCCUCUCCUGGCAACAGGAACAGCGACGGCACUCCUUUUCGGCACCGCACCGUCCCUCUUCUCCGAUUCCCUUCCCCUAGUUCACCCCUAACUCCUCACUCUCCCUCUCAGAUGUUCUGUUUCUGAAGCAUGUAUUACGUUGGAGGGGGUUUGGUGGCUGGGAUAAGAAAUUAGGGUUAGGAUUUCUGGGAUUUGGGAAUUAGGGUUUCUGAU
rnacentral:lncRNA from 1 species